CAGCAGCCGCGGGAAUACGAAGGGGGCUAGCGCUGCUCGGAAUCACUGGGCGUAAAGGGUGCGUAGGCGGGUCUUUAAGUCAGGGGUGAAAUCCUGGAGCUCAACUCCAGAACUGCCUUUGAUACUGAAGAUCCUGAGUUCGGGAGAGGUGAGUGGAACUGCGAGUGUAGAGGUGAAAUUCGUAGAUAUUCGCAAGAACACCAGUGGCGAAGGCGGCUCACUGGCCCGAUACUGACGCUGAGGCUCGAAAGCCAGGGGAGCGAACGGGAUUAGAUACCCCGGUAGUCCCUGUCUCUUAUAC
rnacentral:rRNA from 1 species